AAACCGGUUGAUCCUGCCGGACCCGACCGCUAUCGGGGUGGGGCUAAGCCAUGCGAGUCGUACGCCUGGGGACCGCCAGGCGUGGCGCACGGCUCAGUAACACGUGCCUAACCUACCCUCGGGAGGGGGACAACCCCGGGAAACUGGGGCCAAUCCCCCAUAGGAGAAGGGUGCUGGAAAGCCCCUUCUCCGAAAGGGACUGCGGCCGAUCCGCCGCAGUCCGCCCGAGGAUGGGGGCACGGCCCAUCAUGGUAGUUGGCGGGGUAAUGGCCCGCCAAGCCGAAGACGGGUGGGGGCCGUGAGAGCGGGAGCCCCGAGAUGGGCACUGAGACAAGGGCCCAGGCCCUACGGGGUGCAGCAGGCGCGAAAACUCCGCAA
rnacentral:rRNA from 1 species